rnacentral:misc_RNA from 1 species
AAGUGCAAAGUUCUCAUCAAUAGAAACGAAUUAAGUUCAAACAGCAGGUAAUUGCUAUAAAUUGUUGAAGAGUUCCCUCGACUAUCUUUCUUCUCCAUCAUCAGAUCGACUCCAGACCUUUAUGAAAUAGAAGUGCUUUAUAGUACUUAAUGAAAACAUGAUUAAAUUUACUAGUCACCCUUACAAUUUUUGAAAGUUUCCCUCGAUUUCUCUGGGAUCCCAUCAUCAGAU